rnacentral:misc_RNA from 1 species
AAGUCGUAACAAGGUAACCGUAGGUGAACCUGCGGUUGGAUCAUUAACAAAUCUUGAAGCAGGCCUAGCCUGUUUCUUAUACACCUUACCUUUGUGAUAACCUUACUGUAUCUAGCGGGUUAAAACCGAAAGGGGUUGCAAGACCACCCGCAGUUUAUUUAAACACCGUUUAAUGAUUAUGACAUUCAAAAUUGUUUAAAAUUAAACAACUUUUGGCAACGGAUCUCUAGGCUCUU